GCUUUUUGUGUUUUUUUUUUCCCCUUCAUUUCCUGCUUAUGCAAAAGUUUGAUCGAAAUCUUUCCUUCUCUUUUUCUCUCGAUCCAAACAAAAUGCUAAGAGCUCAAACUUUCUAAGUUCCUUUUCCAUUUAUUUUCCCCUGUUUUCUCGGGAACCAAACAGACCGCUGGCGUCAGGGUCGGGCCUCUUCACUUCUCGUUUUCGUCUCACAAAACUAAGGUUGUCCAAGCUGGAGGUGACAAUAAAUUUAUAGGUUUUGCUUUUCAAACCAAAAAAAAAAGGUUAUAGGUUCAAUCCUGGCUUUGUGCUAUGCUGCUCUAAAGAUUUAAAACAGAAUCAUACAGAGCGAUGAAAACUAUACAGGUACAAUCUUGUCAGAAAAAAAAAGUACUGUGAAUACUUAAUCAGGUGAGUAGAUUCAAUGAUUAAGCUGGUGCAUUUUAAGAAUUAAACUCAGAACUUCGCGCUCAGCAAACAUUUUGCUAGUAGACUGAAUGCAUUUGAUUUCUGAUCAAGGUGAUUGGUUAGCUUUACCAGUUGUUUUCAGUGGAGGAUCUCACAGGCAUGGAGAUCAAAAAGCAUUUGGAUCUCUGGCGUAUCUUGCAUUCCACAAAAGAUGUUUGCUGUUACUUUAACAUUGUCAGAUUACUCCAGUUGUGUUAGAAAGCAUAUUGAUAGUUCACAUCUCAUUGAUGCAUUCUGGGUGAUUUUAGCCUCUGCACAAGUGUGGAUCCAAGUGAUUAAAAGGCUUUUAGGUCUCUGGUGUAUUGCAAGAAACGGAGCUCUGAAAACUAUGCAGGAGAUCAAAAAGCAUUUGGAUCUCUGGUGUAUCGGGUGUUCCGCACAAGAUAUUUAAUGUUAUUUUAACAGAAAGAUUACUUCAGUAAUGUUAGAAAGCCUCUGCAGAAGUGGGGUUGCAAGAGAUUAAAGGGCAUUUGGAUCUCUGGUGGUGUGUUUUGCAAUAAAUUUUGUUGUUCGUUUCACAAUAUUGCAUUACUCUGGUAGCAUUAAAAAAGAACAAAUGGAGCUCUGAAAAUUAUGUAGGAGAUCAAAAAAAACAAAUAUAGACAUGUGAACUCUGUUGUGUCUCUCCUCCAAUGUGGAUGCAGGAGAUCAAAAGGCAUUUGGAUGUCCGGUGUUCUGGAGGAGAUAUUUAGUGCUACUUUAACACUGUCAGAUUACUCCAGCAAUGUUAGAAAGGUAUGAAUAAGAGCUCUGAAAAUGAUGUGUAUGAAAAUUUACUUUUGAACCUUUAGUAACUGUGAUCAAUAUGUUUGAUUAAAUUUACCAUUUUAACGUUACAGUAUCUACACUGCCUUGUCAAAUGGUAGAAAAAAAUAUUCAAAAAAAAAAAAAAAAGAGAUUGAAUGAAUAGAGUGGGGCAUUCCGAGAAUCGAACUCGGGACCUCUCGCACCCAAAGCGAGAAUCAUACCACUAGACCAAAUGCCCGGUUGUUGAUCCAUGCCAUCUUAUAUUUAUAAUCAAUGUGCUUGAUUACAUUGAUGCUACAUCCAACCGAAAAUAAUUGCAGCAUAAUAACUUUAUAUCGACAGUUCACAUCUCAUGAUGCAUUGCGGAUGAUUUGAAGUAUGUUUUGGAUUUCCUAUUUGCUUUUAUUCAGCUACAUUUGUACUUAGAGGAUCUAGUAGAAUUUGUUGGUUUGAUUCACUUAAAUGUGCCUGUAGAUUUUUUUAUGAAACUUUUCUGGGGAUAUGUUGUGUGUGUGUGUGUCUUUUUAAAAAAUAAAAAUGCAGUUCAUAUAUCAUCAUACUGUUGUCUGGAUAUGCAAGAGAUUAAAAUUUUAAAAGGCAUUUGGAUCUCUGGUGUAUCUGGUGUUUUGCAAGAAUUUUUUUUGUUCUUUUAACAAUAUUACAUUACUCUGGUAGCUUAAAAAAAGAACAAAUGGAGCUCUGCAAGCUAUGCAGGUAAGAAAAUUUACUGUUUAACGUUUAAUAACCGUAAUCGGUAAGUUUGACUAAAUUUACCAAUUAUACCACUAAUGUUACGGAGUUUUGUACUGGCUUCGCUACCUUUAUUUUAAUAUCAACUGCCUGUUAGUCUAUUUUACCACUCAUUGAUGGAGGAUUGUGUAGAAUUAUAGUGGUCUAGGUAAAACUUGCCCUGAUAAUUUUAUAUUUGACUUUGGAUCAGAUUACUGGUCCAUUGUUAAAAAGAAAAUAAAAUAGGGCACUGAAAACUAUGUAGUUGAUAAUAUUAAGUUGACCUUUGCAUCAGAUUGCUAUGGUCAAUUGUUUUCUUUUCUUUUCUUUUUUUUUAUUAUUAUUAUUAUUAUUAUUAUUAUUAAAAAAUAAUAAUAAUAAAUUCAGUGAAUAUGGGGGCAUUCCGAGAAUCGAACUCGGGACCUCUCGCACCCAAAGCGAGAAUCAUACCACUAGACCAAAUGCCCAAUUGUUGAUGCAUGUUAUCUACUUCAAUUGAAAAUAUCUGCUUCGUAUUGCCUUAAUUUUGAUAUUUUGUGGUUAAUUUUAGAAGGUUUUUGCAUAUUCGCAAGUGCUUACAAGAAUUCUGUACAAUUUU